rnacentral:rRNA from 1 species
GACGAACGCUGGCGGCGUGCUUAACACAUGCAAGUCGAACGGAAAGGCCCUGCUUUUGUGGGUUGCUCGAGUGGCGAACGGGUGAGUAACACGUGAGUAACCUGCCCCUGUCUGUGGGAUAACUUCAGGAAACUGGGGCUAAUACCGGAUAGGAGCUCCUGCUGCAUGGUGGGGGUUGGAAAGUUUCGGCGGUUGGGGAUGGACUCGCGGCUUAUCAGCUUGUUGGUGAGGUAGUGGCUUACCAAGGCUUUGACGGGUAGCCGGCCUGAGAGGGUGACCGGGCACAUUGGGACUGAGAUACGGCCCAGACUCCUACGGGAGGCAGCAGUGGGGAAUAUUGCACAAUGGGCGGAAGCCUGAUGCAGCAACGCCGCGUGCGGGAUGACGGCCUUCGGGUUGUAAACCGCUUUCGCCUGUGACGAAGCGUGAGUGACGGUAAUGGGUAAAGAAGCACCGGCUAACUACGUG